GGGCUGGACCUCUCGGGGUUACAGCCUUGCUGAAUUAUUCACCCUUGUCUUUUGCGUACUUCUUGUUUCCUUGGUGGGUUCGCCCACCACUAGGACAAACAUAAACCUUUUGUAAUUGCAAUCAGCGUCAGUAACAAAUUAAUAAUUACAACUUUCAACAACGGAUCUCUUGGUUCUGGCAUCGAUGAAGAACGCAGCGAAAUGCGAUAAGUAGUGUGAAUUGCAGAAUUCAGUGAAUCAUCGAAUCUUUGAACGCACAUUGCGCCCUUUGGUAUUCCAAAGGGCAUGCCUGUUCGAGCGUCAUUUGUACCCUCAAGCUUUGCUUGGUGUUGGGCGUCUUGUCUCUAGCUUUGCUGGAGACUCGCCUUAAAGUAAUUGGCAGCCGGCCUACUGGUUUCGGAGCGCAGCACAAGUCGCACUCUCUAUCAGCAAAGGUCUAGCAUCCAUUAAGCCUUUUUUUCAACUUUUGACCUCGGAUCAGGUAGGGAUACCCGCUGAACUUAAGCAUAUCAAUAAGCCGGAGGAA
rnacentral:rRNA from 1 species